UACGUAGGUGGCAAGCGUUACUCGGAAUCACUAGGCGUAAAGCGCAGGUAGGCGGUUUGAUAAGUCUCUUGUGAAAGCUCCCGGCUUAACUGGGAGAGGUCAAGGGAAACUAUCAGGCUAGAGUGUGGCAGAGGAAACUGGAAUUCCCGGUGUAGCGGUGAAAUGCGUAGAUAUCGGGAGGAAUACCUAUGGCGAAAGCAGGUUUCUGGGCCGUCACUGACGCUGAGCUGCGAAAGCUAGGGGAGCAAACAGG
rnacentral:rRNA from 1 species